AUGGUUUUAUAAGUAAGUGUCGUCCUCAUCUUGGCCAAGAUCUUUUAUUUUUCUUGGAAAUAUAUCUUCUUAUGGCGUUUUGGAUAGGAUUUAGACAACGUUAAGGUCUAUAAUUAAGAAUUUUCUGUCAACGUUAAGGUCUAUUAGGCGUAUUCCUCUUUUUUUACCCUUUGUUUGUUUGUAAAGGAGUUUUUUUUGAAGUAAUCGAAGAUUUUUUAAGGUUUAAAAAUUUUAACUUUUGUUUGGGAUGGUGAUAGGUUUUUUAAAGUAUGAUUUUUAAAAUUUUUUAUUUUUUAAUCUAUUAAAUUAGGUGAUUAAUAAGACUUUUAUUUUAAAAUCUUUAAAAGUCUUUCUUCUCUUUCAAACACUAAAAAAUUAUAAAAGAUUUUAUUUUAUAAAAUUUUACUUUACCCUGAAAAGGUUAAAGAUAUAUCUGCUCCUUUUUCAUAUUUUUGACAGUUUUGUUGCAUCAAAUAAGCCUGG
rnacentral:misc_RNA from 1 species